rnacentral:rRNA from 1 species
GGGGGAAUUACCGAGAUUAAACUCCCAACCCUUUGUGACCUUACCUAUCGUUGCUUCGGCGGGAUCGCCCCGGCGCCUUCGGGCCCGGAACCAGGCGCCCGCCGGAGGCCCCAAACUCUUAUGUCUUUAGUGGUUUUCUCCUCUGAGUGACACAUAAACAAAUAAAUAAAAACUUUCAACAACGGAUCUCUUGGUUCUGGCAUCGAUGAAGAACGCAGCGAAAUGCGAUAAGUAAUGUGAAUUGCAGAAUUCAGUGAAUCAUCGAAUCUUUGAACGCACAUUGCGCCCGCCAGUAUUCUGGCGGGCAUGCCUGUUCGAGCGUCAUUUCAACCCUCAGGCCCCCAGUGCCUGGCGUUGGGGAUCGGCGUGGGCGGCGACGGCUCUCCGGAGCCCGAGCCAAUGCCUGCCGGCCCCGAAAUUCAGUGGCGGUCUCGCUGUAGUCCCCCUCUGCGUAGUAGCACAACUCGCAUUGGAGCUCGGCGGUGGCCAUGCCGUAAAACACCCCACUUCUGAAAGUUGACCUCGGAUCAGGUAGGAAUACCCGCUGAACUUAAGCAUAUCAUAAGCCGGGAGGG